rnacentral:snRNA from 1 species
AGCUUCGUGCAGUGGCAGUAUCAUAGCCCGUGAGGUUUAUCCGAGGCACGAUUAUUGCUAAUUAAAAACUGAGUAGCUCAGUUCCCUAAAAUUAAAAAUUGUUCUAGCUCCAUGUUAUUUAUUUGCUAAGUUUUAUACAUUACUUUAACAUA